UUCUCGUAGCGACGGGAUUAAUUUAACGACAUCGUAUACAGGAGGGCGCUCGGUAAACCCGUGGCGCCGUACCGUGCGGAUAAGAUUGAAAUUAACUCGCUACUCGAGCGUCGACAGUUUGGCUGUCAAGCGAUACAACAGACAGACAAAGAGAGAGUGAGAGAGACGGCAUCAAAGCUUCAGUACAAGACAAUGAAAUUGCGUGAGCAUCCUCAAGGGAAUUACGUGUUAACGUUCAGUGGAGAUAGCGAAGUAAAUCAAAAAUGAAAAUGACAAAGUGGUGCGUGUGACGUAAUCGAAAAUAGUUCUGACAGUAGCAGCACUAACUGUAGCUGCAGUAAUGCCAGUACCUAUGCUAAAACAUAAGUUUGUACACGGUUAUUGACGAAUCGAUAAACCGAUAGGUCAUAACCUAUACAUAGAAGUAGCUCGGAAGCUUACCGCUCUAGAAACGACGAUUUGAACGAACGAAAUUCACAUCGGUCCGUUACACUUCUAACUCGGUUCUACUGAGCAGGAAGAAAAGGUAGAGAAAAAGAAAAAAAAACUAGUCAAAUCACCCUGACAAUCUUCACCCCAUAUUGGAGGUUAACCAGGAGUAAAAUGAAGCGGGAAAUUUAAAGGAGCCCCUUAUACCUCACGUAAAUGGAAGAAAUACCAAGAGGAUCUUCAGGCAUUUAUUGGACAUCACGUAACCAACAUCGAAAUCCAGGAACAACAUUCAGGAAAGCGUCGCAUUUCCAUGACGAGAUAUACGAUGGAAUAAUUAGAAGCUUGAGAGUGUUCAAUGAAAAUUAACCAGUCAGGUUGAAAGACGAUCUGGAGUGGCUAAAGAGGACAGCGUCGAUCGUACUCUUUAAUUAACCGAUAAAGACGAUUUACUAGAGUGACCCUUUCAUCAAGUCUGUGUCUAUGAUUUAUGCACGUAUACUUUGGCCAAAUGAAAAUGACGAUAAUGCUACGUCGAUAAGGAAGUUCACUGCUUUACGAUUUGAAAGCCCAUCGACCGUUGGGAUGGAUGGUUUCCGGUUUACCUAGAGUUUCUAUAGAAAAACCCACAGACGGGUUCAGGACAAAACAGGAGAAAAGGCAAAUACAGUCUGGCCAAGAUGCGAAUAUAGAGUUGAGAGGGAGAAUUGAGAUGGUUUUCAUGAAAGUUUCACCGUCUGUAUUUUGUCGUGGAAAAUUCCUUCCAAUUCGAAUCCGCCAUUUUCUGUUUUUAAGGUUCAAAGUUCCUUGCCAAUAUCAGUGGCAUCCAUUUUCAGAGAAACUCUUAGGAAUGACCCUUUAACAGGAAUUUCUGAUAACGUGCAAGAGGAAGAUAGGAAUACGAGGACUAUUACUGUGAGGAAUGAGUAAAAAAAAAUAAAACUUAAGCUCAGUUCACAAUUGGUGAUCCGUUUGCCGCUAAUUUGAGAGCUUGCAAAAAUGUCCGUCAUUGUUUUGCUUCAUUUCAAUUCACAGGGCUAAUUGCGACCACGCGAAUAUCUGACGAACUCACAGAGGGACACAGGGAGUAGCCCGAGGCCCGGAAAACUCUUUCAUCUGGUAGCCAUUGUUCUCCUUCUCUCUCUUUCUCUUUCCUUUCACCCUUCCUCUACUUUCUCCUUGUAUCCUAGUAUCGUUAGUCUUAUUCCAUCCUUAGUCUAAAAUCUCCACCGUCACAUUCAAUCCUAGAAAAAGAGUCUGUUGUUUAAUCAGGCCUCGUUAGGUACUAACUACCCUCGCAAAAAAAAACAAGUUCCUAUCCUAAUAUUUAAUAACGCCAAAAACAACCCCUUAUUUCUUUUCAAACCAUGAAAUCCAACUAGAAUUACAAAAAAUAUAUAUAGAGGGAUACUCAAAACUGUUCUAUCAAAUGAAGAUAGUUUCAUUAUAAAAAUUAAUAAUAAUUAAAUGAACGUUUUAACUUCAGGUGGUACAAUAGUCCUCAAUCACCAUAUAUACUCAUCGAUAACUUAAAUACUGUUCAAAGUUUCUACGAUGAGCACUUGUAUAACAAAUAUUUUUUUCACCAAUUUUAAGGUGCCUGAUGCUAUCAAACUGGCAGUUAGGAAGCAAUCGACAAGACUGAAGAAGCUCAACCAAUUUGCAAAGUACCAAGAAGUAGUUCUACUCAAGAAGGACAAUCAACAAGAAAGUCAUAGAUACCUGUCACCGUCCAAUAAGGAUUGCAAGAAUCCCUGAAUAUCCCAUCCACAUGGGAAAGUCCUAGGACUGCCUAGAGCCAUCCAUAAAUCAUGCAAUUCGUGCGCCAUUAUAGUCAGGGUCCAUCUGAUGCUAUUUCUCAAACCCAUAAGGGGAUAAAAUAGUACUAUUGGGAUCUUAGAAAUACGCCAAAGUGACGUUUGACCUAUCCUAACCUAACGCGAGAACGACGUUGACAAUACACAAAGCUUUAUAACUUCAUUUACAAGAUUGAAACUAAUAGAGUUCCAUUAGGAAGACAAGACACACUAACCAUUGCUAAAAGGAUUUCCUAUAUACCUAUACAUACCAUCAGAUAUGCCAUCUUGAUUUGAUAUUCUCAAUAUAAUUUUCGACGCUCAAUACUGGUUUAGACGUUCCAAGAAUACAAUUAAUUGCAAUUAAUUAGUAAUUAUUGUCUAUCUUGCCAUUAAUUAACAUAGAAUAUUUGAGACAGUGGAUUUUCUACCAGGCUAUGGCAGAGAGCACUUCUCUGGUACGCACGUAGACGGAUAGUAAUUAAAACGUAAUUAGUUUGGUUUGCUACGGUUCUCCAUUAAUUGAGCAUUGACGUGUAUCGUGUUUACGUCGUACGAUGUGGAUCCCGACUAAAGGUACGAAUUGACGAUUUGUCUGCGCUGUCGCUAACUCAAUUGUAAACGGUGCGAUUUGCGAUUAUCUUUCGAGGAAGCAGUAGGUGGUAGUUCGAC